AGUGGAGCAGGUGAUCUGGAAGAAGGUGCUUAGAGGUGAUAAGAGACUCAUUCACUAGGACAUCUAAGUGACAUUAUGGCGUCUGGACUUCAUUUUCAGGGUAAAGAAAAGGUUGCCAAUAUCCUGACCCUGGAUUAGCAGUUAUGGCAGUAGAGAAAAGUGGACUAACUCUGACUCUGGCAGGUUUCCCAGGUGGAAGGAAGUAGCUGCACCAACACCAGGUGGCCCCCACUGCCCUGCUUUCAUUAAACAGCACAAGCUGUCUUUCUCUCCUGCACUCACAAGUCUGCCAACACCGCUGUCUGAAGGGAAUCUGCUUCCCGCAAAUGCUCACACUGCCACCCCUUCUGUUUUUCACUGCUGCAUGUUAGGGACUCCAAAAGAACAAGACUGUAAGGACAACAUCUAAAACAAGUGUCAAUCCCAAGAAAAUACCCUGGGAACUCCUCUAACUGUAAAAUUAAAGGAC
rnacentral:lncRNA from 1 species